GAUGAAGAACGUAGCGAAAUGCGAUACGUAAUGUGUAUUGCAGAAUUCAGUGAAUCAUCGAAUCUUUGAACGCAUAUUGCGCUCUCUGGUAUUCCGGAGAGCAUGCUUGUUUGAGUAUCAGUAAACACCUCAACUUCCAUAUCUUUUUUGAAAUGGGAGUUGGACUUGAGUGAUCCCAACGCUUUUCCUCACCGAAAAGUGGCGGGUUACUUGAAAUGCAGGUGCAGCUGGACUUUUCUCUGAGCUAUAAGCAUAUCUAUUUAGUCUGCCUAAAAAACAGAUUAUUACCUUUGCUGCAGCUAACAUAAAGGAGAUUAGUUCUUGUGCUGACUGAUGCAGGAUUCACAAAGACAGGCUUCGGCCGACUUUGUAAACUCGAUCUCAAAUCAAGUAAGACUACCCGCUGAACUUAAGCAUAUCAAUAAGCGGAGGA
rnacentral:misc_RNA from 1 species